rnacentral:rRNA from 1 species
GACGAACGCUGGCGGCGUGCCUAAUACAUGCAAGUCGAACGGGAGCGACCGGUGCUUGCACUGGUCAAUCUAGUGGCGAACGGGUGAGUAACACGUGGGUAACCUGCCCAUCAGAGGGGGAUAACAUCCGGAAACGGAUGCUAAAACCGCAUAGGUCUUCGAGCCGCAUGGCUUGAAGAGGAAAAGAGGCGCAAGCUUCUGCUGAUGGAUGGACCCGCGGUGCAUUAGCUAGUUGGUGAGGUAACGGCUCACCAAGGCCGUGAUGCAUAGCCGACCUGAGGGGGGGAUGGGCCAAAUUGGGAAUGAACACCGGCCCAAACCCCAAGGGGGGGCAGGAGUAGGGAAUCUUCCGCAAUGGACGGAAGUCUGACGGAGCAACGCCGGGGGGGGGAAGAAGUGUUUCGGUUGGUAAAACCCUUUUGUUAGAAAAAAAAAAGUGCUAGGGUAACGGUUAGGCCCUUGACGGUAUCAAACCAGAAAGCCCCGGCUAACUACGU